AUUGUUUUUGGGGUUUUUUUUGGCUCGGAAGAACGGUAGUGUGUGUUCUUAUUAGCUUAAUAUCUGUAUCUGUUCUGGUAAAUAUUAAAGGCAUUUUUUGGAAGCAGGAGUUGGUAGUGGGAGCUUGCUCCAUCUUGCACUCAUAGACCUGGUAUGGUAGUAUUUCCAGGAACGAUAGUGCGCUU
ensembl:snRNA U2 U2 spliceosomal RNA